rnacentral:rRNA from 1 species
UACGUAGGGGGCUAGCGUUGUCCGGAUUUAUUGGGCGUAAAGAGCGUGUAGGCGGCCAGGUAGGUCCGCUGUGAAAGUCCGAGGCUCAACCUCGGAAUGUCGGCGGAAACCCUCUGGCUAGAGUCCGGAAGAGGAGAGUGGAAUUCCCGGUGUAGCGGUGAAAUGCGCAGAUAUCGGGAAGAACACCCGUGGCGAAGGCGGCUCUCUGGGCCUGACCUGACGCUGAGGAGCGAAAGCGUGGGGAGCGAACAGG